rnacentral:lncRNA from 1 species
UGCACCUCGCUGCUCCUCGGCCCUCGCGGCCCAAACCUGGCCCUGCCGGGUCCCAGCCCCCAGUGGCUUUCGGGACAGGGGCGGAGCCGGGCACCGGUUCUGUUCCCCUAACCCUUGGCCUCUGGCCUGCUGGUAUAGAAGAGGCCGAGAGGCGGCGCCCGGGAGGGGCCAGCCCUGCGCCCGCGCCCCCCGCCCCCACGCCGCAGGAAGUGGCCCGGGCGGCCUAGGAAGGGGAAGAGCCGAGUUGCCCCAGCCCCGCACCCCCAGCCCCAGCCCCGCGUGCAGCUCGCACCCCUUCCCACGCCUGUUCGGGGGAGAGCCCCGGGCCUGGAGUGGGAAGCCUGGCUCCAGCUCUGGUUACCUGCAGUGACUCCCCAGGCCGUUUAGGCGAGUCCAUUGGGCCGCCUCUGCCUCGGUUUCCCCACCUAACCACGGAAGGUGCUCCUCCCUUCCAGGCAUCUGUGGUCUUCGAGCUCCACGCGGGAGAGGCGCCGGUCUGGCACCUCCUGCCCAGGGUCGGCGCCUCCUGGCUCUCGGGGAGGGGGGCAUCCUCCAUCCCCUGCACCUGCCUCGAGAGGAACCAGGGACAGAGCACCCCCACCCCCACCAGGAGCUCCGGAAAAACGGCUUCAGAAGAGCAAAUAUACACACACACCCACCUCCCGCCCCAAACAUCCCCGAAGAAAGGUAACCACAGAAACAGCCAGAAAUGUGGAGCUGGGCGAUCGUAUGAGGCUGAGACAAAACUGUCUUUCUAGCGUCUCUAGGGGAGAGCUUGAAUCCCUCCUUCCACUCCUCCUCCACGGAAAACAGAGUGAACUCCUGCUACAGAGGCCGCCAGAGCAACAUGCAAGACCAGCUUUGAGGGGAGCGGGCACAGGGCCUUGCAGGGAAGGUGGGCCGAGCCCAGACCCCUCAUUCUUACUUGGCUCUGAAGGCGGAAAGGCAAAGCUAGACCUCGAGGAAGUUCCCCUCCCUGUGGGCCCUACAGUGAAGAUUACAUGAAGGCAUGUGGGCGGUGGACCAGAGUGCACCGACUGAUGAAGGCGGCCCGGUACCCGCGGGUGCCAUGCCUCCUUCUUAGCCAAGGCCACUCUAGCUCCCCGUGAAGUAUCCAGGUAGAAGGCUGGUGGGGUUACAGGAGUGUAUCUCUCUCAGAUGAGAUACAAGUUGGUCCCUUCCCUUGCGUCCCUCCUGUUCCUUCAAGAGGAGGACUGUCUACCCACCCCGAAGCUUCAUGGAGAGAGAGCACACCGUCGUUAUUCAAUAUGUAGUUUUGAAUUUAACUAGAGCAAAGAAGAAAGCAAAUUCAGUCACAUCAUGGCCCAGAAUGGCUGCAAAACCUCUAGCAUUUACUUCCUUAUUCCAGGUGGAAGGAAGAAGAAAAGGGAAAAGGGCUGUCCCCAUCCUUCUAAGGAGAUGGUGCAGUGGCUCACCUUUGGGAGGCCGAGGCAGGCAGAUCACUUGAGCUCAGCAGUUUGAGACCAGCCUGGGUAACAUAGUGAAACCCCAUCUCUACAGAAAUUAAAAAAUUAGCCAGACAUGGCGGCGCACACCUGUGGUCCCAGCUACUCAGGAGGCUGCGGCAGAAGUAUGCCUUGAGCCAAAGAGGCAGAGAUUGCAGUGAGCCAAGAUCAUGCUACUGCACUCCAGCCUGGGCAACGAAGCAAGACUGUCUCAGGAAAAAAAAAAAAAAUGAUCAUUUUUCUCUGUCCACUUGGUGGGUCAACUGAAUGGUAUUCCUGUGUCUUCUACUCUCCUCCCACUUGGAAACCCACUGAGAUGCUCUUCCGAAGGCCAGUGCAUGCUGGGCCACACGAGACAGAGCUCAGGCUGGAGGAGCCUCAUACCCGCCCCUCUAGAUGCUUAUAAAAAUACUUCCCACCUUUGAAUCAAGUGGAAAAUGAGGCUCUCCAGUCAAAAGCCGCGACUGUAUAGAAAGCCCUGAGUUGCCCAAUCUGUUCACAUGGCAUCACCAACCUCUGUGUCAUCAUCAAGCUGUCCAGGGGACUCGAUGGCCACCUGGCCAGGAACUGCGGGCUGAUUGGAAGCUGUUGUUCCCAUUGUAUAAUCACACACAUCAUAAAAUAAUCAGUCUUGUCUCUAUUUACAAUUUUGAUGUUUUGUUCAUCACAAAUUUUUAUAUUAAUUUUUAGUUUAACAAACAUUGCACUAAAAUAAUGUUUCUCUUGAUGACCGAGUUUGGGUGCCCUUUCUAUUCUGUGUACAAGAUGAGAGCCUCACUGGCCUCCCCCAAUCCUGGCACUGCCGGAGGCUUUCCUGCGCCCCCUGUGUACUUGUAAGUGC